AACGGACGAAGAAAAGCUCAAAUUGGAUUCUUUGGUGCUAAAAGAUAUCAGCUCAAGUUGCUCUUCUUGGGUCCAAAUCUACAAGGACUCCUAAGCCAAGGUAUAUACAAUCGCUGCCUCUCUGAGAAUUUAGCUCAGGUUAAGAGGCCAAGAGGACAACCUAGAAAGAACCCAACAAAUGAUACUCUUGAUAAUUUGGAUAGCAGCAACCAAUAUGUCCAAGCUCUCGCUAUUGAAUACCCACAAGAUUCACCUGGACUUCUUGCUAUAGAAGGUAUUUCUCAAAACAUCCUAGAUGAGGCCAAACAAAAACGCAAGGUGAAAGAACAAAAAAAUUUCACCAAAAAGCUAUCUGAUUGUAAUUCAAAUCUUAGAACUACUGCACAAAGUAGAAGAUUGAAAAGUAAGGCAAGGAAGGGAAGUAAUUAUGAUGGUGUUGCUUGUCCACUGUUAUUGACUCAUAAUGAAGAUGAUAAUGUUUCUUUGGAUAUCAACUCCACUUCAACUGUAAACUACCAAACACAUGAGAAUUCUGGACUCAACACUGCAAUGCUAGCUUAUGGUUCUGAUAAUGUUUCUUUGGAUAUCAACUCCACUUCUUCCAUUCCAAAGGAUGCUGAUUCGGCAAGAGUUGUAUUAUGCCUUGCUCACAAUGAAAAAGUUGCAUGGGAUGUCAAAUGGCGACCUUGUAAUGCACCCCAUUCCAGCAUCGCAUGGGCUAUCUUGCUGUCUUGCUAGGAAAUGGAUCUUUGGAAGUAUGGGAUUUUCCUCUCCCCCAUGCUAUGAAAUCUGUUUAUUCUUCUUCUAAUGGAGAAGGCACAGAUCCUCGCUUUGUCAAGCUAAAGCCAGUAUUCAGAUGUUCAACUCUGAAGUGUGGAGGUAUACAGAGCAUCCCUUUGGCAGUAGAGUGGUCAACUUCACACCAUCAUGAUUACUUACUUGCUGGAUGCCAUGAUGGAACUGUUGCUUUGUGGAAAUUCUCUGCAAGUGGUGCAUCUGAUACAAGGCCUUUGCUUUGUUUCAGCGCAGAUACAGUUACUAUUAGAGCAAUCACAUGGGUCCCAUCUGAAAGUGACCAAGGGAGUCCAAAUCUUAUCCUCACUGCCAGACAUUGGUGCCUGAAGUUUUGGGACAUGCGUGAUUCAUUCCGACCUUUGUGGGACCUUCAUCCAGCGCCAAAACUCAUAUAUAGCCUGGAUUGGCUGCCAGAUCCAAGAUGUAUAAUUUUAUCCUUAGAUGAUGGAACAAUGAGACUCCUCAGCUUGGCAAAGGCUGCGUAUGAUGCUGCUGUCAAUGGACAACCUUCUGUUGGACCAAAACAACUAGGGAUGCACGUUUUUAAUUGUUCUUCCUUUGCUAUCUGGAGCAUUCAAGUGUCAAGGCUUACAGGCAUGGUUGCAUAUUGUAGUGCAGAUGGUACUGUUUGCCGCUUCCAGCUCACAACCAAAGUAGUGGAGAAAGAUCCAUCGAAACAUAGGGCCCCACAUUUUGCUUGUGGGUCCUUGAGUGAGGAUGAAUCAGCUAUUGUAGUUGGCACUCCAUUACCAGAUGGUCCUUUACCUUUGAAGAGGCUAGUUAACGAUGUUGGGAACAAUCCAAAAUCCAAGCAGCCCUUGUCUGUGUCAAAUAAGGCCGCAAAAAUCCCAACUUCAGAUGAUCAACCGUUAGCUCUGUGCUAUGGUGAUGAUCCAGGUAUGUAUGAUGGAUCAGAUGAAACAUUGACAGCUUCAAAAAGCAAAAAGAAACCAAAAUCUAAAAGUGGGGGUAAGAAACAGGAAGGAGAAGAUCUGGCAUUGACAUGUAUCGAGCAAGAUGACAAACAGAAAGGAAGAGGAAAGGAUGGAGCUGGGAAUGUAAUUGAAAGUAUCCCACCAAAAAUUGUUGCAAUGCAUAGAGUUUGAUGGAGUAUGAACAUAGGUAGUGAGAGAUGGCUGUGCUCCGGAGGAGCAGCCGGAAUCGUACGGUGUCAAGAAAUCAAAAUGUCUGGUGUUGAUAUAUGCUUGGCUAGGAAGAGAUAGCAGCCAGCAAAACGUUAAUCAUAAUCUAUGGAUAUUUAAUGUUAUUUUCCAUA